GACGAACGCUGGCGGCGUGCCUAACACAUGCAAGUCGAGCGAAUGAAAUUCCUUCGGGAACGGAUUUAGCGGCGGACGGGUGAGUAACACGUGGGCAACCUGCCUCAUAGAGGGGAAUAGCCUUCCGAAAGGGAGAUUAAUACCGCAUAAGAUUGUAGUACCGCAUGGUACAGCAAUUAAAGGAGCAAUCCGCUAUGAGAUGGGCCCGCGGCGCAUUAGCUAGUUGGUGAGGUAACGGCUCACCAAGGCGACGAUGCGUAGCCGACCUGAGAGGGUGAUCGGCCACAUUGGGACUGAGACACGGCCCAGACUCCUACGGGAGGCAGCAGUGGGGAAUAUUGCACAAUGGGGGAAACCUUGAUGCAGCAACGCCGCGUGAGUGAUGACGGCCUUCGGGUUGUAAAGCUCUGUCUUCAGGGACGAUAAUGACGGUACUUGAGGAGGAAGCCCCGGCUAACUACGUGCCAGCCGCCGCAGUAACAC
rnacentral:rRNA from 1 species